UAGGGAAUCUUCCACAAUGGACGCAAGUCUGAUGGAGCAACGCCGCGUGAGUGAAGAAGGUUUUCGGACCGUAAAGCUCUGUUGUUGGUGAAGAAGGAUAGAGGUAGUAACUGGCCUUUAUUUGACGGUAAUCAACCAGAAAGUCACGGCUAACUACGUGCCAGCAGCCGCGGUAAUACGUAGGUGGCAAGCGUUGUCCGGAUUUAUUGGGCGUAAAGCGAACGCAGGCGGAAGAAUAAGUCUGAUGUGAAAGCCCUCGGCUUAACCGAGGAAUUGCAUCGGAAACUGUUUUUCUUGAGUGCAGAAGAGGAGAGUAGAACUCCAUGUGUAGCGGUGGAAUGCGUAGAUAUAUGGAAGAAUACCAGUGGCGAAGGCGGCUCUCUGGUCUGCAACUGACGCUGAGGCUCGAAAGCAUGGGUAGCGAACAGGAUUAGAUACCCUGGUAGUCCAUGCCGUAAACGAUGAGUGCUAAGUGUUGGGAGGCUUCCGCCUCUCAGUGCUGCAGCUAACGCAUUAAGCACUCCGCCUGGGGGAGUACGACCGCAAGGU
rnacentral:rRNA from 1 species